rnacentral:rRNA from 1 species
CUACGGGAUGCUGCAGUGAGGAAUCUUCCGCAAUGGACGAAAGUCUGACGGAGCGACACCGCGUGUAGGAUGACGCCCUUUCGGGUGUAAACUACUUUUCUGAAGGAAUAAAUUCUGAAGUUACUUCAGGAAUAAGCAUCGGCUAAUUACGUGCCAGCAGCCGCGGUAAUACGUAAGAUGCAAGCGUUAUCCGGAAUUAUUGGGCGUAAGGCGUCUGUAGGUGGUUUGUUAAGUCUGAGGUUAAAUCCAGAGCCCAACUCUGGACUCGUCUCGGAAACUGGCUGACUAGAAUCAGGUAGAGGCAAGUGGAAUUCUGCAUGUAGGGGUAAUAUCCGUAGAUAUGCAGAGGAACACCAAAAGCGAAGGCAGCUUGCUGGGCCUGUAUUGACACUGAGAGACGAAAGCGUGGGGAGCAAAAAGGAUUAGAUACCCCUGUAGUC